rnacentral:rRNA from 1 species
CCUACGGGAGGCAGCAGUGGGGGAUAUUGGACAAUGGGGGGAACCCUGAACCAGCGACGCCGCGUGAGUGAAGAAGUAUCUCGGUAUGUAAAGCUCUAUCAGUAGGGAAGAAGAAAUGACGGUACCUGAGUAAGAAGCCCUGGCUAACUACGUGCCAGCAGCCGCGGUAAUACGUAGGGCGCAAGUGUUAUCCGGAAUUACUGGGUGUAAAGGGAGCGUAGACGGUUAUGUAAGUGUGGAGUGAAAGGCGGGGGCCCAACCCGCGGACUGCUCUGGAGACUAUGUGACUGGAGUGCAGGAGAGGUAGGCGGAAUUCGUGGUGUAGCGGUGAAAGGCGUAGAUAUUAGGAAGAACACCAGUGGCGAAGGCAGCUCACUAAACUGUAACUGACAUUGAGGCUCGAAAGCGUGGGGAGCAAACAGGAUUAGAUACCCUAGUAGUC